AUCAUUUAAAAUUUACAAAGGUUUCCAGAACUUUUUUGUUAAUUUAUUAAAUUUUUAAAACGGCCCUUGGAUGAAUGCAACGAAAAAUACGCAUCCAAUGUGCGGAAAUGGGAAACCGUUUCGGGCAACUUCCGUUGAAACGAGAAAUCAAUGCAGCUCAGCAGUUAAAGUAAAGUUCAUAAAAGCAAAAAGCAUGUCAACCCGAAAGUACAAACAGACAAGUCUCCAAGAGUCAGACAAAAGGAUUGAAGGAUUCAUAAGGCGAGGCGGCUGCAACAUCAACAGGAAGCGACUCAGAAAUCACAUCCAAAUGGCUGAGCAGCCAAGCUUGCGUGCAAGCAUGGAGGGAACCCAGGAAGUAAACUAUUAGAGUCCCAAAAAGAAAUAAAA